CGGUUUCGAUCUGCUGAGGACAGAUGAAGUGAACGUGAGCGUCGAUGCCGCCCGCCGUCAGGAUCAUCCCCUCACCGGCGAUCGCCUCGGUACUCGGGCCGAUGAUGAUGUCGAUGGCGUCUUGAAUGUGGGGGUUGCCCGCUUUGCCGAUGGCGACAAUGCGACCGUCUUUGACCCCGAUGUCGGCUUUGACGAUGCCCCACCAGUCCAGGAUCAGCGCGUUGGUGAUCACCAGAUCCACCGCGCCUUCGUCCCGCGAGAGAGGCGACUGGCCCAUGCCUUCGCGG
rnacentral:sRNA from 1 species